rnacentral:ncRNA from 1 species
UACCCCGUUGAUCCUGCGGGUCGCGUAUGCUUGUCUCAAGGAUUAAGCCAUGCAAAUGCCAGUAUAAGCCACAUGGAUGGCGAGACUGUGAAUGGCUCAUUAAAACAGUUAUAAUCUACACAAUGUUAAUAUGUUAUAUGGAUAACCCUAGUAAUGCUAGAGCUAAUACAUGCCCUAUUUCCAUUUUUGGAAAUUGCACUUAUUAGUGAUCCUACUUUACACUUUUCCUGUCACAGGGUUUAGUGUUGAAUGUUGAAUCAUGAUAAUUUUGUGGAUUGAUAGUAUUUGUACUAUUGACGCAUUGUUUGAAUAUCUGCCCUAUCAACUUUUGACGGUAGGAUUGAGGCCUACCGUGGUGUUGACGGGUAACGGGGAAUUAGGGUUCGAUUCCGGAGAGGGAGCCUGAGAGAUGGCUACCACAUCCAAGGAUGGCAGCAGGCGCGCAAAUUACCCAAUCCUGACACAGGGAGGUAGCGACAAGAAAUACUGAUAGAUAACACUAAGUGUUAUUUUAUUGGCAUGACGUUUAUGUAAACGAGUAACGAAGUAACGAUUGGAGGGCAAGUCUGGUGCCAGCAGCCGCGGUAAUUCCAGCUCCAAUAGCGUACACGAACGUUGUUGCAGUUAAAACGCCCGUAGUCUGAACUGUGAGAUGUUUUUCAUUUUACUCUUUUUUUUGAAAGAGUACGAAUGGACGACACUCAUUUUGAAAUGAAUGUUUGAAUUGAUCUUGAUUGAUUGAUUUUGACAUUGAUU